UCUAAUAUGGCAGAAUAGUGCAUUGGAUUUAAGAUCCAAGUAUAAAGUUUUAAGCUUUUUUUAGAA
rnacentral:tRNA from 1 species